rnacentral:rRNA from 1 species
AGCUCCAAUAGCGUAUAUUAAAGUUGUUGCAGUUAAAAAGCUCGUAGUUGGAUCUCGGGUCCAGGCUUGUGGUCCACUCCUUGGUGGUUACUGCUUGUCCUGACCUACCAUCCGGUUUGCCCUUGGUGCUCUUGACUGAGUGCUUCGGGUGGCCGGAACGUUUACUUUGAAAAAAAUAGAGUGUUCAAAGCAGGCAAUUCGCCUGAAUAAUGGUGCAUGGAAUAAUGGAAUAGGGCCUCGGUUCUAUUUUGUUGGUUUUCGGAACUUGAGGUAAUGAUUAAGAGGGACAGACGGGGGCAUUCGUAUUACGGUGUUAGAGGUGAAAUUCUUGGAUCGCCGUAAGACGAACUACUGCGAAAGCAUUUGCCAAGAAUGUUUUCA